UGGGGAAUAUUGGACAAUGGGCGCAAGCCUGAUCCAGCCAUGCCGCGUGAGUGAUGAAGGCCCUAGGGUUGUAAAGCUCUUUCACCGGUGAAGAUAAUGACGGUAACCGGAGAAGAAGCCCCGGCUAACUUCGUGCCAGCAGCCGCGGUAAUACGAAGGGGGCUAGCGUUGUUCGGAUUUACUGGGCGUAAAGCGCACGUAGGCGGACUAUUAAGUCAGGGGUGAAAUCCCGGGGCUCAACCCCGGAACUGCCUUUGAUACUGGUAGUCUUGAGUUCGAGAGAGGUGAGUGGAAUUCCGAGUGUAGAGGUGAAAUUCGUAGAUAUUCGGAGGAACACCAGUGGCGAAGGCGGCUCACUGGGUCGAUACUGACGCUGAGGUGCGAAAGCGUGGGGAGCAAACAGG
rnacentral:rRNA from 1 species